UGUGGGUGUGGCAAAGAGAUUAGAUUCCUUGUUUUAUGCCCGAGUAGACUCUCUUCUUAAAGGAUUUCUUGCAUGUUCAUUGCACUUGUAGGACUCUAGUAUGCAAUAAAGGUUUCUUAAUGUAGAAGGCAUCGUGUUUGUGUGUGUGUAUUUGUAUAUAUGCAGAUAUACACAUGCAUACAUGGUACCGGACCAGUCCGGUUCAAGCAUGGAAAACAAUUCCGGCCCCAGAGGAGAAGGAACCGAUCGGUACGGUCGUGUAUCGGUGCGAAUAAUGCACGUACUGGGAAGAAAUUAGAUCUUGAAUAAUACACAUAUUUUCUUUCAAAAUUUAUUUUUCAUAAACUGAUACUAGACUCAAUAUUAGGCUAUGGCCACGUAAUGUAGUGGCAUAGGUCUGAUAACAGAUGAUAGAUACCACUGUUCUAAUCAUUGGCGGCUCGGUGUUGAAAUUAGUUUUUCAGAUUACAAGUUGACAGGGCCAACGAAUAAUCCUCAUCGGUGGGGCCAGAUCAUAGUCAUGCUGAGAAUAUAUAUAAAACAAAUUAUCCAGUCAAAUUUCCAAAAUUCAUUUUAUAAGAAUAUCAAAAUACAUAACAUGUUUUAAAACAAUUAUGAUGGUAAUAAUAACAUGUUUGAUCCAUUUAAUCAAACAUGAAAUAGAGAUCAUAACCAGAUUUAAUAAAC
rnacentral:lncRNA from 1 species